UUGAUUUUCGUUUUUGCUGUCUCCCCUCCCUUCUCAAUGUGUUUUUUCCUGAUAAUGAAUUAUUAUGAACUGAUAAGGGGAUUUGCCGUGCAUAAUUAAUUAAAAUAAUAGGUAUAAAUGAUCCAUUGAUCCAUCACUAGGCAAUUCAUUCGUAGAUAGAGAUACGAGCCAGACGAAACACGUUUCCUAAAGGGCUGAAGAAUUUUUUGUCGAAGCGAUUCGAGUUGAAUAGAUUGGACGAUAAAAUAAAUUCAACAUAAUCCAUCGUGAAAAAUGAAUCUCAAUGUGAGAACCGCUGAACUGAUAGAAAAGACAAAUAACUACGCCAGUCAUAUGACAUUAGACGAAUACCUACAUAGUUGUCCCCCAUCCAUUCAUCAUCCUGCAAGAACACUCUGAAAACGAGCAGAUCAGCGGCGUAGUCGUAAUCAAGUUUCCAGGUAUCUAGACCUACCGAAAAAACCGAACGAAAUGAUGAACUGAACUGCAGCCCACUCAGUUGAAUUUGCUAAUUCAACCUAUACGUUAGCGUUAGAUGAUGAUCAUAUAACGAAUAAUCGAUCAGUUCACAAUACGAGUACUUACAAAUUGAAUCUCAAAUUUCAUUAUAGAAAAAUUUUCUUCAUCCUUCCUUUCGUGAUUUCUAAUCCAUUACGGGAAUCUCUGAACUGAAAUAUAAAACAUCAAGUUACCAGCGAAGUGAAUUCAAGAGCUCGAUUAUUGUUCAAUAUUCAUCUUGUAUCAUUAUUG